GACGAACGCUGGCGGCGUGCUUAACACAUGCAAGUCGAGCGGUAAGGCCCUUUCGGGGUACGACGAGCGGCGAACGGGUGAGUAACACGUGGGUGGACCUCGCCCUCCAGCUCUGGGAUAAGCCUGGGAAACCGGGUACUAAUACUGGAUAUGACUCCAUGACGCAUGUUGUGGGGUGGAAAGCCUUGUGCGGCUGAGGAUGGGCCCGCGGCCUAUCAGCUUGUUGGUGGGGUGAUGGCCUACCAA
rnacentral:rRNA from 1 species